rnacentral:rRNA from 1 species
CGAACGGGUGAGUAACACGUGAGCAACCUGCCCCGAAGACUGGGAUAACACCGGGAAACCGGUGCUAAUACCGGAUGUCCUCCUCUGGUCGCAUGGCCUAGGGAGGAAAGGAAUUUGCUUCGGGAGGGGCUCGCGGGCUAUCAGCUUGUUGGUGAGGUAACGGCUCACCAAGGCGACGACGGCUAGCUGGUCUGAGAGGAUGGUCAGCCACACUGGGACUGAGAUACGGCCCAG